UUUGAUCCUGCCAGUAUUAUAUGCUGAUGUUAAAGAUUAAGCCAUGCAUGUGUAAGUUUAAAGACCUAGUAGGAUGAAACUGCGGACGGCUCAUUAUAACAGUAAUAGUUUCUUUGGUUAGUAGGUACAAGGAUAACUUUGUGAAUGAUAAAGCUAAUACUUGAGACGAUCCGGGGAGUAUUUAUACUUUUCGGCCCCUGGUCGCGAGGUUGGGGAGAAACGACAUUUUCUUGUGAAAAAGGAUGCCGCGACAAUUGAGGAAAGCGACGCUUUUUACAAGUAACCAAUGGGAAUUUCUGAUCUAUCAAUUUGUUGGUAGUAUCGAGGACUACCAAGAUUAUAACGGAUAACGAGGAAUUGGGGUUCGACAUCGGAGAGGGAGCUUUACAGAUGGCUACCACUUCUAAGGAAGGCAGCAGGCGCGUAAAUUACCCACUUUCGACAUGAAGAGGUAGUGACGACAAAUAACUCUUGGCGCCCCUCGGGGUUUCUUGAAGGAAUGAUUAAGAAUUAAAUUCUCUUAAGAAACAAAUGGAGGGCAAAUUCGGUCCAGCCCA
rnacentral:rRNA from 1 species